rnacentral:tRNA from 1 species
GAGGGUAUAGCUCAGUGGCAGAGCACGUGCUUAUUAGCACGCAUGAAGUCCUGGUUCAAUCCCCAGUACUGCCA